rnacentral:rRNA from 1 species
GAUAAACGCUGGCGGCAUGCUUAACACAUGCAAGUCUAUUCGAAAGUGGCAACAUGAGUAGGAUGGCGGACGGGUGAGUAACACGUGAAUAACCUGCCCUAUAGACUGGGAUAACUAUGCGAAAGCAUAGCUAAUACCGGAUAAGCUCACAGCAACGCAUGUUGCAGGGAGAAAAGCUAAAUGCACUAUAGGAGGGGUUCGCGGCCCAUUAGCUAGUUGGUGAGGUAAUGGCUCACCAAGGCGACGAUGGGUAGCCGGCCUGAGAGGGUGUACGGCCACAAGGGAACUGAGACACGGUCCUUACUCCUACGGGAGGCAGCAGUGGGGAAUCUUGUUCAAUGGGCGAAAGCCUGAAACAGCAAUGCCGCGUGGAUGAUGAAGGCCUCGG